rnacentral:rRNA from 1 species
UACGUAGGGUGCAAGCGUUGUCCGGAAUUAUUGGGCGUAAAGAGCUCGUAGGCGGUCUGUUGCGUCCGCUGUGAAAACUCGGGGCUUAACCCCGAGCCUGCAGUGGAUACGGGCAGACUAGAGGUAGGUAGGGGAGAAUGGAAUUCCCGGUGUAGCGGUGAAAUGCGCAGAUAUCGGGAGGAACACCGGUGGCGAAGGCGGUUCUCUGGGCAUUACCUGACGCUGAGGAGCGAAAGUGUGGGGAGCGAACAGG